AUACGGAGGAUGCAAGUGUUAUCCGGAUUUAUUGGGUUUAAAGGGUGCGUAGGCGGUUUGCUAAGCGGGAGGUGAAAUGCCGGCGCUCAACGUCGGAAGUGCCUCCCGAACUGGUGGACUUGAAUGACUCUGCCGUGGGAGGAAUGUGUAGUGUAGCGGUGAAAUGCUUAGAGAUUACACAGAACACCGAUUGCGAAGGCAUCUCACGAAGGGUUGAUUGACGCUGAGGCACGAAAGCGUGGGGAUCAAACAGGAUUAGAUACCCUGGUAGUCCACGCAGUAAACGAUGAUGGCUAACCGCUGGGCUUAUCAGUUUAGUGGCCAAGCGAAAGCGAUAAGCCAUCCACCUGGGGAGUACGACCGCAAGGUUGAAACUCAAAUGAAUUGACGGGG
rnacentral:rRNA from 1 species